AAUGAACGUUGGCGGCGUGCCUAACACAUGCAAGUCGAGCGAGAAAGUCCUUCGGGAUGAGUAAAGCGGCGGACGGGUGAGUAACACGUGAGUUACCUGCCUUCUAGUGAAGAAUACCUUCGAGAAAUCGAAGUUAAUACUGCAUAAUCCCUACGGGGUAAAGGUGGCUUCAUGCUACCGCUAGAAGAUGGGCUUGCGGACUAUUAGCUUGUUGGUGAGGUAAAGGCUCACCAAGGCGAUGAUGGUUAACCGGCCUGAGAGGGUGUACGGUCACAUUGGAACUGAGAUACGGUCCAGACUCCUACGGGAGGCAGCAGUGGGGAAUAUUGCGCAAUGGGCGAAAGCCUGACGCAGCGACGCCGCGUGGAGGAUGAAGGCCUUCGGGUUGUAAACUUCUGUUAAGUGGGAAGAAAGGCUUGCCAAUAAUACGGGCAAGAAAUGACGGUACCACUAGAGAAAGCACUGGCUAAUCUCGUGCCAGCCGCCGCAGUAAAAC
rnacentral:rRNA from 1 species